GACGAACCGAGCGAACGUUGUUCGGAAUCACUGGGCUUAAAGGGCGCGUAGGCGGGUGCUCAAGUCUGUGGUGAAAUCCUCCGGCUCAACCGGAGAACUGCCAUGGAUACUGGGUGUCUCGAGGGUGGUAGGGGUAUGCGGAACUAUCGGUGGAGCGGUGAAAUGCGUUGAUAUCGAUAGGAACUCCGGUGGCGAAGGCGGCAUACUGGACCACUUCUGACGCUGAGGCGCGAAAGCCAGGGGGGCAAACGGG
rnacentral:rRNA from 1 species